CAAUAGCGUAUAUUAAAGUUGUUGCAGUUAAAAAGCUCGUAGUUGGAUUUGUGGCGGUCCCUGUGGUCCAAUUUUGGUACUCUCGGGGACUGCCAUCCUUGGGUGGAUCCUGUGUGGCAUUAGGUUGUCGUGCAGGGGAUGCCCAUCGUUUACUGUGAAAAAAUUAGAGUGUUCAAAGCAGGCUUACGCCGUUGAAUAUAUUAGCAUGGAAUAAUGAGAUAGGACCUUGGUACUAUUUUGUUGGUUUGCGCACCGAGGUAAUGAUUAAUAGGGACAGUUGUGGGUAUUCGUAUUCCAUUGUCAGAGGUGAAAUUCUUGGAUUUCUGGAAGACGAACUAAUGCGAAANCANNNAUCAAGGAUGUUUUCAUNAA
rnacentral:rRNA from 1 species